GUGGGGAAUAUUGGACAAUGGGCGAAAGCCUGAUCCAGCCAUGCCGCGUGUGUGAAGAAGGUCUUCGGAUUGUAAAGCACUUUAAGUUGGGAGGAAGGGCAGUAAGUUAAUACCUUGCUGUUUUGACGUUACCGACAGAAUAAGCACCGGCUAACUUCGUGCCAGCAGCCGCGGUAAUACGAAGGGUGCAAGCGUUAAUCGGAAUUACUGGGCGUAAAGCGCGCGUAGGUGGUUUUGUAAGUUGGAGGUGAAAUCCCCGGGCUCAACCUGGGAACUGCCUCCAAAACUGCAUGACUAGAGUACGGUAGAGGGUAGUGGAAUUUCCUGUGUAGCGGUGAAAUGCGUAGAUAUAGGAAGGAACACCAGUGGCGAAGGCGACUACCUGCACUGAUACUGACACUGAGGUGCGAAAGCGUGGGGAGCAAACAGGAUUAGAAACCCUGGUAGUCC
rnacentral:rRNA from 1 species